GGUGGAGGGAAGAGUGAGUGAACAAGGUGGGGGUGGGAAGGUGAGGAGUAGGGGGUGGAUAAGGUCAGGCAGAGGUCACACAGAACCUUUUGGGCCACGAUAAGGAUUUUGAACUUCUUCUAAGGUCCAGCCUUGCCCAUCAAAGCAGAUGGAACGGAGAGGAAGUUCACCCUGGCUUCCUUUGCACUACCCCUGUGACCUAACUCUAUCUGCUGCCUGGAACAUGGAUGAUGGCCCGAGCUCUAGCAAGUUCUUUGGACUAUGUGGGUUAUCACCUUCCACAGCUGAAAGGAUGAACUGUAAGAAGUAUAUCAGCCAUAAGUCACUAUCUCUGAACUUCUUCAAUGAAAGAGUGAAAUAAAGAUCUCAUUUGUUUAAGCCACUGUUAUUUUUUGUUUCUUUGUUAUUUUUAGUUACACAUAAUUCUAACUGAUGUGUCUUGUACCCACGGGGAUUGUUGCAGGUGUUUCUGGGCCCCGUGUGCCCCUUUGGACCACUGAGUUGAGCACAGCUGUGAGGGCAGCUCUGUGUGUGCUGUCGGUGUCCUUUUCAAACAUGUAGGGUUUGUUCAAAGCCACAGAAGGCCAGUCAGCCCCUGCCCAGGCACAGCCUGGAAUAGAAAUGAGGACUCCAAAAGAAGGGAGUGGGGAGAGAGGCAAGGGCUGAAAAGAUUUCCUAUUGAGUCCUAGGGGAGAGUUGAUGCCUUCUACAGGCAGCCCUCAAUCAACAGGAGAUGAAAGUUGGUGACCAUACGAAGUUCAUUCAUGGUUUCUCGGAGGGUGCCAGCAGGACUGGGCUCUGGCUGCCCACAGAGGUAACCAGCUCAACCACAUACCCUUUCCAAUCUUUUCUCCCACCCCUGUCUCAUUCUUUUCACUGUCACUGCUGCUUCCUGGAAUCACCUCUCAGAUAAGCCAUCUCCACAAAUGUUCUGCUCUCAGGCUCUGGCACUGGGGAGCUAAAAUGUAGUUCUAUUUGGGUCCUUCCCCUCCAAAAAUCCCUCUGGAGCCCACAGACUCCUGGGUGAUGAUGUGAUCCCUUGGUCUGGCUGCUGCCUCUGGUCACCUCCUCCCUGCUGCUCUGUCCCGUGCCCUCGGCGCCCCCUGUGUGACCCUUGCUCCAGCCAUGCCAGGCCAUAGCAGUUCUCUGAAGGGCCCUGCAGUGUCCCGCUCUGGUGCCUUCUAACAGACUAGAGCAUCCUUUCUUUACCUUUCCCCCCGCUCAUCUCAAGUUCAGCUGGAGCUGCUCCUUGUCUAGGGUCCCGUUCCUCUUUUCCACCAUCCUGGAAGUGUCUACGUAGCCACCUCUUUCUCCUUUUUGACUUUGUGCUUCUUUUUAGGGCAGAGACUACACACACCCUAUUCAGUUUUAGAUUCUGGGCACAGCACUGAGCUGGAACACAGUUGAAACUCAGUGUUCAUUGCAUGGCAGAAGGGGUAGGGGCAGGGCCAGGCUGAGCCAGACCCAGAGCGGGGCACAUGCAUGGUGGCCUGGUGCGUUCCUGGAUUGACAAGUGGGCCACACGUCCAAGGUCCCUCACUCCAGCAUCCAGUUUCUCCCAGAUUUGGUCUCUCUCAUCUUUUUAGCUUCAGCUCCUAAACCUCUCCUCUGACUCAGAGUUCCAGCCCCACCAGCAUCUGUCCUGCCCCAAACACAUUCUGUGCUCUCAAGCCACUGUGACUCAGGCCAUGCUCGUCCCUUUGCCUGGAUGGCUUCCCUUCCCCCUUGGCCUCCCACCCUGCUGGGGAAUUUCUCCCUGCCCUUCAAGGUCUGUAUCAGAUACAUGUGCGUCCAUAAGCCCUUCUCUGCAAAGAACUGUGCUUUGUACAUUGUGGAUUCUUAGGAAAGCUUAUUGUGGAUGUAUUGGAUGUAUUGGGUAGGGUGGGGGGUCAUGUAUGUAUUUAUUUAACAAACAUUUACAUAGAGCUUAGUAUAUUCUAGGCACUGUUCUACAUGCUGUACCCAUAUGAACUAAUUUAAUAUACAUAACCAUCCUAUAAGAAAGGUACUGUUAUUGUCCCCAUUUUACAGAGUAUAAAACUGAGGCACAGAAGGUUAAGUAACUUAUCCAAGGUUACACUGCUAGAAAGGAUGUGUUGACCCAAGCAGAGCAGGACAGAUGGUGACAGGUUUCUUUUUAAAUCAAUGCUAUGGAGUAGAUGGAGAACAUCAAUUGCUUGGUGUUUCUUUCUUUGUUUUAAUCUAAAUUUUAGAUCUGGUGGGUCCAUGUGCAGGUUUGUGACAUGGGUAUAUGGUGUGAUGCUGAGGUUUGGGCCUCUAUUGAUCUUUUCACCCAGAUAGUGAACAUAGUACCCAACAGGAGGCUUUUCAGCCCUUGCCUCCCUCCCUUCCUCCUUUUGGCAUACCCAGUGUCUUUGUUCCCAUCUUUCUGUCUGGGUGUACUCAGGCUUUAGCUCCCACUUGUAAGGGAUAACAUGCAGUGUUUGGUUUUCUGUUUCCGUGUUAAUUCACGUGGGAUACUGGCAAAUCAGCCUCCCCUUCUGGGAGCUCUGUGGCUGAGCGGGGCUAAGGAGCGCAGCUUUCAGAAACCCUGCAGGUGUCCGGGACAUCUGGCCACAGGGGCCACUGAAUAGCUCUAGAGGUCCAAACUUCAGGUGGGCCAUGAGUAUGGGCCUGGCCUUCGUCAGGCAGGGCAAGGGACAAGGCUUCCUGGCAGGAAAUCUGCUCCUCUGACUUGUACCAGCCUCCUUUCAGCUCUGCCUUGAAGAGUGCGGUGGGAGGUGGCAAAGAAUAUCCAGGAUAAGGUUUGCAAAUGGAUAAGGGGUUCACAAGAAGACCCCGGGACUAGCAGGCAGGGACUUUGACUCAAGGUGCUGAGUGAUUUCAGUGGCAACUCACUUCCCCUCUAUGGGCCUCAGUUUCUCCAUUUGUGAAAUGCAAAGAUUGGGCUGGAUGCUCAUGAAGGGCUCUCCCAGCAUAUUCUUUAAUAACUCUAGCUGCAUAUGUAUUAUCUUGGGGAGCAGAAGGGAGGAGGGAAAUUGGGAUAUGUUAUGGGCUGAAUUUAUAUAUUCAAAAUUCCUGUGUUGAAGUCUGAACCUUCAGUAUCUUCAAAUGUGACUGUAUUUGGGAAGGGUCUUUAACAGGUAAUGAAGGUUUAAUGAGUCAUUGGGGUGGGCCCUAAUCCAAUAUGACUGAUGUCCUUGUAAGAAGAGGAUGGUAGGUCACAGACACCCACAGAGGAAGGACACAUGAAGACACCUGGAAGAGACGGGCAUCUUCAAGCCCAGGGGAAUGGCCUUGGAAGACACCAAACCUGCUGACACUUUAACCUUGGACUUCUGGCCUCUACAAUGGUGAGGAAAUAAAUCUGUGUUCUUUUAAGAUGCUCAGUCUGUGGUACUUGGUUCUGACAGCGUUAGCAAACCAAUGCAAGGUAACACCAUAAGCUGACCCAACUGCAGUGUCCUCCAGCCACAGUACCCUGGUUCCUGUGGGGUCAGACUAGCCAAGGAGUACGGGAGGCAAGGGGAGGGGC
ensembl:lncRNA